GAAGAUAUUUCUGUCUGGCCUAGAAUGGGUCGGUCUUCACUCAGUUUAUCAAACUAGAUCCUCAAGAAAACAGGCAGAGAAUGAGGAUGUUUUAAGCCUGAUCAACCAUUUUAACUGGGUUCAUAACAAGCAAAUCAUGAAGAUAGGUUCAACAUUGCAUGAUGAAGAUAUAUGUGGACACUACAUUAAAGAAAAAGGAGAAGGGCGUAUUGUGGGCGGAAGUGAAGUAAAAUCAACUGGAUCAUACCCCUGGCAACUUUCUUUGGCCACUGGUUUUUUUGGGUUCUUCUAUCAGCACAGAACCAGGGCAGUCAACAUAAGAAAAAAAUGAUGAAGAAGAAAAAAAAUGAUGAAGUAGAGAAAUUAUGAACAUGUGGAGACCCUGGAAUAUUGUCUUCUUCCCAGAAGCUCUGUAAACCAAACCAAAUAUAUUUACACAGUUUUUUAGAUACCAUGUUGUAACUGAUACAAAAAAUAUAUAUUCAGUCAGUUUA
rnacentral:lncRNA from 1 species